AAGAUAGGCUGCUACCUACAAAGACCGCAAAAGUUCUGAGAGGGGAUUCUUCCAUAAGAAACUCUUCAAGUCUGCAUCUGAAGUUAGAAGAAAUCCAAAACGGUGUUGCACAUUAAAAAGGUUAUCAAAUCAUUUAAGGAAGAGAAACAGUUUAUACAGAAAGUAUAAAUCAGCAAAGAUUAUUAGGAGAUUUAUGGCAAACAAACUUUUCAGGGAUAAAUGCAUUGGAACCAGAUUUAUUACUUUAGAAAGUUGCUUUGCAAGAAAGAUUUAUGUAAUUAAUAAGUUGUCUCCCUCUCCC